UGUUAAAAAUUUUAUCCAUUGUACUGUUAAAAACUGGCAUGGUUAAUAGAAUAACUAGAUAGUGACAUGUGACAUGCCAUGUGUACCUCAUGCUAAGGGAUCAACUUUUAACUGUAGAAAUGAAUGAAAAUUUUAACG
rfam:Gossypium arboreum cultivar AKA8401 contig_36583_1, whole genome shotgun sequence.